AGUGAACGCUGGCGGUAGGCCUAACACAUGCAAGUCGAACGGCAGCACAGUAAGAGCUUGCUCUUACGGGUGGCGAGUGGCGGACGGGUGAGGGAUACAUCGGAAUCUACUUUUUCGUGGGGGAUAACGUAGGGAAACUUACGCUAAUACCGCAUACGACCUACGGGUGAAAGCAGGGGAUCUUCGGACCUUGCGCGAUUGAAUGAGCCGAUGUCGGAUUAGCUAGUUGGCGGGGUAAAGGCCCACCAAGGCGACGAUCCGUAGCUGGUCUGGGAGGAUGAUCAGCCACACUGGAACUGAGACACGGUCCAGACUCCUACGGGAGGCAGCAGUGGGGAAUAUUGGACAAUGGGCGCAAGCCUGAUCCAGCCAUACCGCGUGGGUGAAGAAGGCCUUCGGGUUGUAAAGCCCUUUUGUUGGGAAAGAAAAGCAGCAGGUUAAUACCCCGCUGUUCUGACGGUACCCAAAGAAUAAGCACCGGCUAACUUCGUG
rnacentral:rRNA from 1 species